AGAGGAUCCUGGAGGCCAAUGAGUAUGGAGAGAAGUAUGCAAGCACAGGACACAGACCCACUCCUGUUGUAUAUAAUUAUGUGAGCAGAUGGGAGAGGCUAAUGACUUUUAAUCCCAAGUGCAUUAAAGAAGAUUAAAGACGCCUACAGACCUAAGGAUCUGUGUUGAAGAUUUUAUAUGCAAUACCAUUCUCGUUUGUUCAUGUUUGCUGUCGUGAUUUCUUGAGUCUGUAAGGCAGACUGUGUGCAUGUUUGCAAGUCUAGGUGGCACACCACCAUCUGAAUUUCUGAACCAUGUUGCGGAUCUCUAGUGCCAAAUCCUACAAGGUUUUGGUUUUCUAUUUAUAGGAGCCUAGAAACCACUCUAGCCUUUGGAGUCACAGCUUCGCGGCAGUUUCAGCGUCUGCUACUUAUUAAGUGUUGAUGGACCAUCUGGGGCUUUCAGAGUCUUAUGUGACAUCUUCUUCAACUUACCUUGGAAUCUUAGACUUCACUGAGAUCUAUGCAUAAGUCAUUAUGGAAUGGAAAGGAAAAUGGCCACGUUUGAUUACUUUUGGUUUAGAAUCAGGAAAGCUGAAGUUAUACAGGAAGGCCAACUGAGAUCAAAAAGAAACUGUCUCUACCUGGUGCGCCCACAUAGCAAUUCUGUCCAGCCCAAGAGUCUGGGACAUGCCAGAACAUUUUCUUCUUUAUAGUCUGUGGGAGGCACUGACAAGAACAGUUGAUACAGAUUUGCCUCCAUUUGAGACUCAGAAUUUUGCAGCUGUUUUCUCAAUGCAGGAAGAGGUCAUUAUUAGAAUGAAGUGAAGAAAGGAAGGCAUGAAGGGGAAAUGGGACUGUUUACGGAGCACAUCUACACAAAGGAGACAGGGGGAAGUGCUGUGCUCUUCAGUGUCUUUGUAGCAUAAAUCACUGAGGCAGAGGAAUUUUUGACAGCUUUCCCUAAGUGCUCGCUUCAAGGGUGAGACCAAAUCUUCCACAGAGGCCAAGGAUGAGAGUGAAAAAGAAGGGAUCCCAGAUGACUUCUAACACUCUUAAAGCAACUCGAAGACUCCAAGAAUUAAGGCACUGAAGACCGGGAAGCCACUGUUAGUGACAUCAUUUUGCAAGGAGUAGGAGGCGCUUCUUACUGGAGAAGGCACGUCACCAGGGUAUUCUUUGAAGUUUCAAAAGCCCAUACCAGGCCCAGUCUAUCUCUGCCUCCUGUCUGCUGAUCAGGAUGAGGCUCUCCUGCCUCCAUGCCGCUGUGCUUCCCAGCGUGAUGAGCAAAGAAAAACCUUCUGAGAUUGUAAGCAAGCCACCAAUUAAAUGUUUUCUUUUAUGAGUACCUUGGCCAUGGUGUCUUUUCACAGCAACAGAACAGUAACCAACACACAAUCCAAAGGGAUCCUUCAGAUGUUAACAUAAAUAAUAUAGGACAGAGACAAAAGGCCAUCCGGAAAUGUUUACCUCCAAGACUUUCUCUACCAGGCUCAACUGAAAUCGUUCAUUCAGAGUGGGUCAAGGUUUUAUUCAAAUACUUAUUGUCCAUUGUAUUGAGUUUUUAACCCAAACACUUAUAUAUAUGUAUGUGUGUGUGUGUGUGUGUGUGUGUGUGUGUGUGUGUGUGUGUGUGUGUGUAUACCUCUUACAUGAUUUAAGAGGCCAACAUAAAUUUCCUGGUGGAAAAUAAAUUGCUCAUUUCUAAGAUUUGUUAAUGUAAUUUGUGACUGUAUUCCUUCCAUAGGUUCACAUGAUUUUCUGGCCUCUUGGAAGCAUGAUUCUCCCCCCAAAAUGAGUUACUUGGUUAUAUGAAUGCUGUAUAAAAAUAAAUGCAAAAAAGUGGGCUUAAGAAGUUGGAUAGCAUACAGGCCCAUCUUUACCUUGCGGGUAAUAAGCUGAGAAUGAAAGUGAUCCCAGGAUCCUUUGAGAAUAAAAACCAUCAUUGAGAAACUUCUAUUUGUCACUGUAGUAGGUUGUCCAAACCUUAUCAGUUGUUCAUCUACCCAGAGUUCAAUGCUGAGGCUUUUCCAUGUGUGAUGGUUUGCAUAUGCUUGGCCAAGGGAGUGGCACUAUUAGAAGGUGUGGCCUUUUGGAUGA
rnacentral:sRNA from 1 species